GGCCAGACUCCUACGGGAGGCAGCAGUGGGGGAUAUUGCACAAUGGGGGGAACCCUGAUGCAGCGACGCCGCGUGGGUGAAGAAGCGCCUCGGCGCGUAAAGCCCUAUCGGCAGGGAAGAAGGAGGACGGUACCUGACUAAGAAGCCCCGGCUAACUACGGGCCAGCAGCCGCGGUAAUAAGUAGGGGGCAAGCGUUAUCCGGAUUUACUGGGUGUAAAGGGGGCGCAGACGGCAGCGCAAGCCAGGAGUGAAAGCCCGGGGCCCAACCCCGGGACUGCUCUUGGAACUGCGCGGCUGGAGUGCAGGAGGGGCAGGCGGAAUUCCUGGUGUAGCGGUGAAAUGCGUAGAUAUCAGGAGGAACACCGGUGGCGAAGGCGGCCUGCUGGACUGCGACUGACGUUGAGGCCCGAAAGCGUGGGGAGCAAACAGGAUUAGAUACCCCCGUAG
rnacentral:rRNA from 1 species